UGUGUACGCCCUCGGCAUCAGCAUUCUUCCGCUGGAGCGCGUCGGUGAACGGCGACUCGUCAGGAGGGGCUUCACCAAGCGCUCCGGCCUGGAUGUUAGUGCUGAGUGUUGCCUCCCAGAUAGUGAAGUCGCAAUCACCUAAGAUGGAAGCCUUGGGUCUGCCUGGGUCCCUGCUGCCGCUGUGGUCACUCUCCCCGCCCCUGCCCGUGCUGCAGCCCUCAGCCCCGACCUCACCCUCAUGAACUGCUCUGACGUGAAGGAUCACUUGGUCAACAUGCUGCUGAAUAGUGGAAAGUGUGACCGUGGUGGCGGACAAGAUCGCUGGCCCUUUCCACCUUGGCCAUCCACCUCUACCACGAGUUGGCCCACCAAACACUCCACACCAAGGUUAACAAGGCCAUCAAUGUGCUCCAGGCAUACCUCAAGAGCCCAUCCAGCGCUGGGCCCGGCCACUGCAAGCCUUGUUGGGUCAAUGUGUGGGAAAUCAGCCAAGGUGGAGUUUGAGUCGGUCGGCCUCAACCAUGAGGGCUGUGUGAGCGGCAGGCUGGCCGUGAGCCUUCUUGGGAGUGCUGGGCGGCCUGGUGCCCCGGCUGAAGGCAAGCAGCCUCCCUAAGACACCCAAAGACUGGCUGACACAAGAUCUUGUGCUGGUACUGGUGUCUGAAGGCUGUGCAGUGGUGCGGACACAGGCUCAGAGUGCCCAGGUGGACCAAGAUGCUGGUAAGUGUUGCAGCUGACAGAUUACUGACAAGGGAACAGGCAGGGAAUAUAAACAAAACAGACAUGGUAGUUAUAAGUGUGGCCAGUGUCGCCUCUUCUUAUUCUUUAUAAAUGUUUCCAAGGUUGCCGCCUGCCUGGGAGCAGACUCACAGAGGUCAGCGCAGGGCAGCAGGACAGCGCCCUCAGCAGUGACGAUGAGUCUCUCCAUGAAGGCUGCACAGCAGCAGGCCACCGUCGCCCGAGAGCAUCCUGAGGAACACUUCAAUGUCCAGGUGUGAGGAUGUCAAGCCACCACAAGCCAGGAGGGAAGUGGCUGCUGGGGCCAAGACAGCAGGUGAAGCAGAACCCUUAAGCCUCAGGUCUUCACCCCUGGACGAAGGAGGUGUUUCUUGGCGGCCAAACUCGGGAGACUCACCAGAAAAGACCUUGGUAGAUGAUGCAAGUUUUGCUCGCUGGAGACCACAAGAGUAUUCACCCGUGCCUCAUAUUGUGGGUGAGGAGAGCAGCCUGCACCAUCUCCCAAGAGGUAUGUUUAACAGUGAGGCAUGCACACAGGCAGGAAGCAGCACUACAGUCACCAGGAGACAUUUUACAUAAAACUGGCUACAAAAUACUGCUGCUGCUGGCCAGAAUGGAGAUCAGGUUCAGCAGGAUCCCAGCAAGGUGCUCUCUUUACUUCUUUGUGUGAUUUUGAAAACACUUCAGCAGCCAAGGGGAACGCUCAAGAGAAAGUGUCAUAUCUAUGCAAACCUUCCUGCAGGGGUGAGCUGAAAGGUGAAAAAUGUAGUUACCACGACUCCUUGGAGAAGAGAGACACCAUUAGUAGUUUGGUUGGUGAGAAAGCUUCACCAGUCAUGCUGCUUGUACAGGGGAGAAGACUUCAGUGUUGUCCUCCAGGCCUCUUUGCAGCGGGUACUCUAGAUCAAGCAGCAGACCAAGUGUCUUGCAUGUGUGUGUGUGUGUGUGUGUGUGUGUGUGUGUGUGUGUGUGUGUGUGUGUGUGUGUGUGUGUGUGUGUGUGUGUGUGUGUGUGUGUGUGUGUGUGUGUGUGUGUGUGUGUGUGUGUGUGUGUGUGUGUGUGUGUGUAUUUACCUAGUUGUGAAAUACCGUACUAGGCUCGUGCUGUCCCAUCUCCAUAAUGCUUAUUAUCCAGUUUGGCUUUAAAUUCAUGAAUCGUUUUGCACACAGUCUCCUUGUCAGUCCGUUCCAUGUUGUUAUACUUCUGUAUGGAAAACUGUAUUUCUUGUCAUUUCUUAUCACUGCCUCUUGUCACACUUCUGUCACGUACCACUAGGUCUUCCCUGUCCAAUUUCUCCAAUCCCUCUUGUAUCCUGUACAAUGCUAUUA